AGUGAACGCUGGCGGUAGGCCUAACACAUGCAAGUCGAACGGCAGCACAGUAAUUUCUUUCUCUUACGGGUUGCGAGUGUCGGACGGUUGAUGUAUACAUCGGAAUCUACUUUUUCUUGGGUGUUAUCGUAGGUUAACUUACUCUAAUACCGCAUACGACCUACGUGUGUAUUCAUUUUUUCUUCUGACCUUUCUCGUUUUAAUUAGCCGAUGUCGGAUUAGCUUGUUGGCGGGGUAAAGUCCCACCAAGGCGACGAUCCGUAUCUGGUCUGAGAGGAUGAUCAGCCACACUGGAAGUGAGACACGGUACAGACACCUACGGGAGGCAGCAGUGGGGAAUAUUGGACAAAGGGCGCAAGCAUGAUACAGCAAUACCGCGUGGGUGAAGAAGGCCUUCGGGUUGUAAAGCCCUUUUGUUGGGAAAGAAAAGCAGCAGGUUAAUAACAAGCUGUUAUGACGGUACCAAAAGAAUAAGCACCGGCUAACUUCGUG
rnacentral:rRNA from 1 species